GACGAACGCUGGCGGCGUGCUUAACACAUGCAAGUCGAACGAAGAGCGAUGGAAGCUUGCUUCUAUCAAUCUUAGUGGCGAACGGGUGGGUAACGCGUAAUCAACCUGCCCUUCAGAGGGGGACAACAGUUGGAAACGACUGCUAAUACCGCAUACGAUCUAAUCUCGGCAUCGAGGAUAGAUGAAAGGUGGCCUCUACAUGUAAGCUAUCACUGAAGGAGGGGAUUGCGUCUGAUUAGCUAGUUGGAGGGGUAACGGCCCACCAAGGCGAUGAUCAGUAGCCGGUCUGAGAGGAUGAACGGCCACAUUGGGACUGAGACACGGCCCAGACUCCUACGGGAGGCAGCAGUGGGGAAUCUUCCGCAAUGGACGAAAGUCUGACGGAGCAACGCCGCGUGAGCGAUGACGGCCUUCGGGUUGUAAAGCUCUGUUAAUCGGGACGAAAGGCCUUCUUGCGAAUAGUGAGAAGGAUUGACGGUACCGGAAUAGAAAGCCACGGCUAACUACGU
rnacentral:rRNA from 1 species